CAACCUAAGAGUUUGAUCCUGGCUCAGAACGAACGCUGGCGGCAGGCCUAACACAUGCAAGUCGAACGAGAAGCCGCCCUUCGGGGCGGUGGAAAGUGGCGCACGGGUGAGUAACGCGUGGGAACCUACCCUGAGGUACGGAAUAACGGCUGGAAACGGCUGCUAAUACCGUAUGUGCCCUACGGGGGAAAGAUUUAUCGCCUUGGGACGGGCCCGCGUCGGAUUAGCUUGUUGGUAGGGUAACGGCCUACCAAGGCUCCGAUCCGUAGCUGGUCUGAGAGGAUGAUCAGCCACACUGGAACUGAGACACGGUCCAGACUCCUACGGGAGGCAGCAGUGGGGAAUAUUGCGCAAUGGGGGAAACCCUGACGCAGCCAUGCCGCGUGAGUGAAGAAGGUCUUCGGAUUGUAAAGCUCUUUCAACGGGGAAGAUGAUGACGGUACCCGUAGAAGAAGCCCCGGCUAACUUCGUGCCAGCAGCCGCGGUAAUACGAAGGGGGCUAGCGUUGUUCGGAAUUACUGGGCGUAAAGGGCGUGUAGGCGGUGCGAUCAGUCAGAGGUGAAAGCCCCGGGCUCAACCUGGGAAUUGCCUUUGAUACUGUCACACUAGAGUUCGGGAGAGGGUAGUGGAAUUCCCAGUGUAGAGGUGAAAUUCGUAGAUAUUGGGA
rnacentral:rRNA from 1 species